UGUCCCGGACUUGAUUUGAACACGCAAACUUCUUAUCUGGAGUCAGACGCGCUACCGAUGUGCCACCGAUUC